UACGUAGGGGGCGAGUGUUCUCCGGAUUUAUUGGGCGUAAAGGGCACGCAGGCGGUUCUGCGCGUCCAACGUGACACCUGCCGGCUUAACCGGGAGAGGACGUUGGAAACGGCAGGACUUGAGAGCGAGAGAGGGAGACGGAACUCCAGGUGGAGCAGUGACAUGCGUAGAGAUCUGGAAGAACACCGCAGGCGAAGGCAGUCUCCUGGCUCGUUACUGACGCUGAGGUGCGAAAGCUAGGGGAG
rnacentral:rRNA from 1 species